ACCCCACGGGGCCGGGGAGCUGCCAUGUGAUGGUUACACCUUCCUCCAGCUCCCCGCGCUGGAAGCGAGUCACGGGAUGGCAGCGGUCGUUGCUUUUGGGGGGUGGUUUGGACAAGCGGCUUUCGGAUGCUUCGCGGAGUCUCGUUAAGGCUUUACGGCGGAGGAGGAGGAAGAGGAGGGACGGGGGCUUCAGGGCACAAAGCCGGCAGGAACGGCGCAAAUACCGCCGCUGAGAGCUCGAAGGGAGCGCCGGCGAGCCCUACCGCUAAUUUUGCUAUUAAAAAAAAAAAAAAAUAUAUCUAUAUAACAACAAC